rnacentral:lncRNA from 10 species
GUUCUGUAAUGCCUCAUUUUCUCCUGUAGAGGUGAAGGAGUGGGGAGGAAGAGGGUCUGUGUAAGCAUUUUCCUCUGGAAAAAAGACCUAAUAACAUAUUUUGAGCUAACCCAAUUGAGAAAGUGUACUAACGUUUUGUCAGGUCCAUUUUCUACUGCAACUCAGUCAACACUGAGAGGUGUUUUCUUUCAGGUUCAAUUUGGCCUUUUGCUCCUCAGGGAAUUUGAAAGGUCACUGGCAAGGCUGGUUAAAAGCAGACCAGUGUCAGCGAACUCUGCCAUGACUCCUAGAGACCACAGGAAGGCUUGGAUGCAGCCAGGACCCACGGAAUCAGGUGCAGCACCCACUGCCCAGACAAAAGUGAGGAAAAACUGUCACUGUGAACUAUGAGAGCAUCAGGGCCUUUUUCGAAGAUGGAUACAAUGAUGAUGAUGGUUUUAAUAAUAAAAAUAUUAAUUUAGUGAAUGCUUAAUACAUGUUGAGUACCAUUUUAAACAUGUGAUGUGUAUGAUCUCUUAAAGCCACUUCCAGGUCCUGGGCUGGGUCUUUUGCAGGCACAAUCUCAUUUACAGUGGUAACAACUCAACAUGGAGCUGAUUACACUAGUCCACUCUUCACAAUGUCUCCGGAAGUCCUGCUGCUGCUAUUUUAUUUUGGGAAAAGACACAGAAACCAACACACACAGACGCACACACACUUUUUUUCUUACCCAUUGUAUUGAGAUUUUCCCUCGGGAGGAGCUUUGAAAAUGCCAGUUAUUUAUGUGCUCCCCUUGCCCCCGCCCCCCGCCCAUAUCUUUGUGAGGGGAUGAGAAACUCACCGUUAUCGAAGACCGUGCCUGCUGUGAACGAAAGUUCUGAGUCAUGUUCAGCUUUGCAGGCAUACAAGGCUUUUGCCUUCCGGAACGGUGUGCUGUGUGAAAACAGGAGUUUAUUUAACAUUUUUGAAAAAACCCUUAGAAAGCCCCAGACAUUUCAUCUCUCUUCUUCCCUUUCCCUGUAAGCUACCUAGUCCCCUCUCGUGGGAAGUGCCUGGCAAGGCAGCCAGAUGGCAAGACAUGAGGUGGGAAAGCUGCAAAGAUCACAGGAGAAAAAUGAGAAAUAUUCAGAGAAAAGCCAUAAGCUUCAAGAAACUACACUUUUUGUGGGGUCACCUUGUGCCAUGUUAAAACUUUACCUGGGAGUUACAACAGCCAAACAGCGGGAGGGCAGGCUGGGCCCCAUUUUUGGAGCAGGAGUGCCUUGGGGGAAGGGAGGGAAGCAGGGGCAGGAAAGAAGUUCCAAGCUGCUCUGGGGAACACACUCCCAACAGAACCUGUUGAAAGCUGGCAAUGCUCAGUGAGUCAAAAAGAAGAAAUUCCAGCAAAGCCAAGUUUCAGUUCCAGGCCACGGGCGGACAUGAGCUCUCCCAGAUGUUCCUGAUUUCUUACUAGACUGGGUCUUGCUGGUGAGACAGGAUUCCAGAGCUGGAGCUCUCCAACCCCCAGGGGAGGGAAUAGACAAGGUGCAUGAGGGCAAUUACACAUGUGUGUGCAUGAGCACACACGUGCACCUGUAUGGGGAGUGUGGGGAGGAGGAAGAAGGGAGAGGGGACAUGAGGCAUUUUUUUUGGUUUGUUUUUGCUUUUCUCAUGUCCGUUGAAUGUUUACAAUCACUCUCACUGUGCAUCCGAAACACCUGGGGAGCAUUUAGAAAAUGCAGAUGUCUAGGUUCUACCCAGAUAUGCAGAUAUUAUACAGGCAUCAGUAGUUUUUGUUUGUUUGUUUAGACGGAGUCUUGCUCUGUCGCCCAGGCUGGAGUGCAGUGGUGCGAUCUCGGCUCACUGCAAGCUCCGCCUCCUGGGUUCACGCCAUUCUCCUGCCUCAGCCUCCCGAGUAGCUGGGACUACAGGCGCCUGCUACCAAGCCUGGCUAAUUUAUUGUAUUUUUAGUAGAGACAGGGUUUCACCGUGUUAGCCAGGAUGGUCUCAAUCUCCUGACCUCGUGAUCCGCCUGCCUCAGCCUCCCAAAGUGCUGGGAUUACAGGCGUGAGCCACCGCGCCCGGCCAGGCAUCAGUAUUUUAAAAAAGCUCUCCAAGUAAUUCCAACGUGCAGUGAGGGUUGAGAACCACUGUUCUAGAGCAGAAGGUGGCAAACUUUCUCUGCAAAGGGCCGGGUGGUAAAUAUUUCAGGCUUUGUGAGCCACAUGGUCUCCAUCGUGCAGAGUGAUCAGAGUAAAUGGUUAUCUCGAAUUUAUUGCUGGGCCAUAGUUUACUGUUGUUCCCUCUGGUUUUCUAGGAGCCAAGAGAUGAUGGCCAGGUGGGAAAACAUUGGGAAAGUGGGGGAAAAUGAAGUGGGACCCCUGGGAACAAAGGAAAGAAGAGUCCUUAGUAUUCACCAGCUCCAACAGGAAAACAGCUCUUCCUGGCUAAUUAUGAUGACAGAAUAAAGUUCAGGACAAGGGGCACUGCCUGUGAGCCAAAGAAACCGAGUCUAUGUAUUGGCCAGCAAGGACCAAACAUCCUAUGUGCAACUUUCCAGGGAGGAAUAUAAGAGGCAUUUUUUUUUUUUUUUUUUCUUGAGAGGCUGGGAAGCAGACAGGAGGAGUGACUUGGCUGUGAAAAGUGCUAAAACAGAUAAAAGACUAUACUGACAGGCAAAUGGAGCCUGUUAUGACACUGACAUUGAAGGUGAAAGGAGAAUCCAGUUCACAUUAGCCAGGGUCUCAGAGACCAGGUUUUGAGGCAGUAUUUCUGCCUCUUGAGGACAGGGCAGAGCAGGUGGGUAAAAAGCAAAGAGACCAGGGAAGGGGGACUAAAAGUAAGGGAAACAGCAUCUGAGGAAAGGCUCCUCUGACUGGAUUUUCACAAACAUUAUUUAUUAACCUCACUAAACAAGGAUAAUGGGACAAAACAGGGGCAAGCUGGAAAACCAGCAGGGGUAUUUGGCAGCCAGAAAUAAAAGGGAGUGGUCCAGGUGCCCAAGAUUAUCAUUCAAAAGGAGUAACAUUCCAUUGAUAUUAGGUUUGUGAAAUUGAAUAAUGAAGUGGCAAUAACAUAGUACGUUAAAAAAUAACAAACUAGGCACUGUGGCACAUGCCUGUAAUCCUAGCACUUUGGGAGGUGGGAGGAUUGCUUGAGCCCAGGAAUUUAAGACCAGACUGUAGAGACCUCCAUCUCUACAAAAAAAUAAAAAAAAUUAGCCAGGCAUGAUGGGACACGUGUGGAGUCCAGGUUACUUGGGAGGCUGAGGCAGGAGGAUUGCUUGAGCCCAGGAGGUGGGAGCCGCAGUGAGCUGAGAUUGCACCACUGCACUCUAGUCAAGUGAGACCCUGGCUCAAAAAAAAAAAAAAAGUAAGUAGGUAAAUAAAUAAAUAAGCAAGCCAAGAAAGGGCCUUGUUUUUUUCUCAAGUUGAUAGGCAACUGACAGUCUAUGGGAGGGCUUUUCCCUUGAGAUCUCCCUCUACUGCUUUAGGAUAGGCACAAAAAUGGGAGAAAUGACAGAAGAGGUGCUUUUAAAGGGGGCCAUUCCUGUUGCCCAAGGAAUAGGAAUGGGUAGGGUUGCCAGAUAAAAUACAGGACACCUAGUUAGAUUUGGAUGGCAGAAUAAACAAUAAAUAUUUCUUUAGUAUACGUUAUGUCCCAAAUAUUGCAUGGGACAUACAUAUAUGAAAAAAUUUUUGUUGUUUAUCUACCAUCCAAAUUUAACUGGGUCUGCUGUAUUUUUAUUUUAUUUGCUAAAUCUGGCAACCCUACCCAAAAAGUCUUAUCUUCUUAAAAGCUUGUCAGCCCAACAAGUCAAGUGUCCCAUAACUCCUUCUGAAAGGUCUUAAGCAGUUUGCUUUAGGUAGGGUUCCUACCAAAACAGACAAAUCCUGUUGGCAGAGAGAUUGUAUUUGUAGGCUUUGGCUCUGAUAAAAAAAUAAAAUAAAAAAUCUCCACCAGGCAUCAUUGGUUCUUUGGCUUCCUAUUCUCCACAGUAUAUCUCAAAACUGGAUACAGAGGGCCUGGGGUAGUUUUCGGCUGCUCCUGUCAACAGUGCCCUUCAGACCUCAGCUGGGCCUUUAAGGGCAUGAACAAGUUGGGAUCCUCCUGCUAGUUCCCUUUUAAUUUUCACCUCUGAGCAUGGCACAAGGCCUGGAAAGCACUCACAGGAGUUUCCCUCAAAUGCCCUUGCAAACCUUGCAAAAUGAUGACCCAUUCGCCAUCAUAUGGCACUACAGGGAGGUGGGACCAGCUAGACUGGCAGGUGGAAAGGGGUUGAUCAUUUAGGCAUAAUUUCCAGGGACCCCUGGGCAAAUGCAAGUUACGGGUUUGGGGCUAUCGGCUUUUUUGGGGGAGGGGUGAGCAAGUGAAAGAAAAGGGAAAUACGGAGGGAAUGUGUCUCCAGCACCCUUUCUCUACUGUGCUGCAAAAGGCAUCUUCAUUCCUGACUUUGAACAAACAAGGUCUAUAAAUGGUUUGAAGAGGGGACAGUGAUAUGGUUUGGCUCUGUGUCCCCACCUGAAUCUCAUCUUGUAGCUCCCAUCAUUCCCGUGUUGUGGGAGAGACUCGGUGGGAGAUGAUUGAAUCACUGGGGACGGUCUUUCCUGUACUGUUCUCAUAAUACUGAAUGGGUCUCACGAGAUCUGAUGAUUUUAAAAAACGGGAGUUUCCCUGCACAAACUCUCUUUUUGCCUGCCGCCAUCCAUGAAAGACGUGACUUCCUCCUCCUUGCCUUCUGCCAGGAUUGUGAGGCCUCCCCAGCCACGUGGAACUGCAAGUCCGUUAAACGUCUUUUUCUUCCCAGUCUCGGGUAUGUUUUUAUCAGCAGCAUGAAAACAGACUAAUUCAGACAGUAAGCAAUUUCCAGAGGAGACAUCAUUCAGAAGUUCAUGGGACCACUGAUUAGAUCUAAUUCAAUAUUUACUUAUAAAGGCUUUGCUCAGGGAAGGAAAUCUGAAGCUUCAUGCUCUGGAAGUGGAUUUGAGGGAGGCCCCAGUGGACCUGAAUAAUGGGUGUAUACCACCACCUCUUUGCUAUACACUACAGUGUACAGGUUUCGGCCCUCUCUGUUCCUCUGAUGGGCUAGCUCCUCAGCAGUGUUGCUGUCUGUGCUCAUCUGGGCACACACAUUUAGUCCAACUCUGCCUUGACUAUUUUUUUUUUUUUUGAGAUGGAGUCUAGCUCUGUCACCCAGACUGGAAUGCAAUGGCACGAUCUUGGCUCACUGCAAACUUUGCCUCCCAGGUUCAAGCAAUCCUCCUGCCUUAGCCUCCUGAGUAGCUGGGAUUACAGGCGCCCACCACCAUGCCUGGCUAAUUUUUGUAUUUUUAGUAGAGAUGGGGUUUUGUCACGUUGUCCAGGCUGGUCUUGAACUCCUCACCUCGGGUGAUCUCCCCACCUUGGCCUCCCAAAGUGCUGGGAUUACAGCUGUGAACCACUGUGCCCGGCCUGCCUUGACUAUUUCAAGAGGGCAGCUUCCUAAAGGGUGUCCAAAUAGUGCUAUUCUAACAAUGGCCAGGGGAGGAGGUACUGAGUAACUGUGACCCCAGACACACAAGAUGGCAACAGAAUGGCAGAUUCUAUUGCCAUUGCCCUCUGUCAAUCUGGAAAUACUUUGGGAGGUAGGAAGAAGUAGGAAGGAAAAACAGUCUGGAAAUAUUUGGGGAGAUGAAAACGAGUGAAGAGGUAGAGAUACUUGACAAGAAACAGGGCCCCAAAUCUCAGAGUCACAAAAAAGUGAGUACCAUCAAGGCAGAGAGGACAUUUUAGGAUUUUAGCUGAGUGAUUUCACUCUCUUGAGUCUCUUAACCCAUUUUGUCCAAAGGGCCAAUAUUUUGAAGAUUUUUACUCCAUUUUGAUAAAAAUGAAGGAAUUACAUUUUCCUAAAGCCCAAGUUUCUCUAAUGAGUAAGUGAGGCAUUUUGGAAGCUGACUUGUCUGUGGUCACUUAGUUUCCUCUGGUUCAGGUCCUCAUGAUCUAAUGAGAAUAAUCUAUGCUAUUUCUGGUAUCUUAGAAAGUUGAUGUCUCCCAAAGUGCCCAGAAGAUGUCCAAGAAAUGAUUAGGAAAUCACUAGAAUGUCAGGAAGACAUGAUCUGAAAAUUUCCCUUAUUUAUAGAGUGAGAAAAAAAAGAAUUACUGAAAAUCUCCUUCCCAUCAUCCAGGACAAAGCCAGGUAGAAAGCUGUAUAAAACCUAAAAGAGCAAGUCAGGCUCUGGGCUGGGAGCUGCACGGAAACUCAAAGUUGGGGUUACCCACGUGUUUGGAGGAAAGAGUGCUGAGCUGAGGGGGAGAAGUCCUGAAUUCUGGAUUGGCUCUCAUUUAGUCAUAGCAUUGUGUCCAAGUCACCUCCCUGUGUUUUAGUUUUCUUUUUCCACAGUAGGGUUCAGGCCAUUUCUCUUCUCAUUCUCACACGAGGAUAGAAUGAAAUGAUAGAUGUGUAAGUGCCUAGUGGGGAAUAAAGUAAUAUAUGUAUCUGUAUAUAUAUAAAUAGCAUGGGGUUUUCUUUUCUUCUAAAAGUGAAACUCGGCUUCAUAAAUUAUUUAAGCCUCUCUGCUGGAUCCACCCUUUGGAGAAAAAGACAGAAGGGAAAAUACUCCCAAAGCCCAAAACGCUUCUGAUGCUUAUAACUGGGCUCUACAAUUUGGUUGUCUGAAAGCUGAGACUAAGCUUGAGAGAGAAGCACGUUUAGGAGCUCCACAGCAUAGGAAUUCUGCAGGAUCCCUAUUCGUUCUUUUCCCGGUUGUAAAGAGCUCUUUUUUUUUCCCAAAGAGCACAAGAGCAAAAAACUUAAGUGCGGAAGUCACAAAAGCAGGGAAAACUACAGCAUGGCCCUGAGAAGAGGAACUAGGUCAAGCUGCUCUCCCUCAGAGAGAGGUAGUGCCUGUUCCCAGGACAGCUCAGGCUUCAUGACACACAGAGACAGAAGCAGGCUGGGAGCAUGGAUGGUUUCGGGAGUAUAUGGGGGACAACGAGGCAUAAGCCGUGAGCAAUUUAAGAGAAAUCGCUUCGUCUCUCAAGCUUUUAUUCUAUGUUCGACGUCUCUCCCCCAGUGGAUCUGGUCUAAGUGACUGGGUGUCAGUGCUUAGGGCCAGGGGCCCAACCCCACAAAUAAAUAUUGCCUGACGCUGCCUGAUAAACAUGAGAAAAGAAAAGGUUGGCACAUGUCCCAACACUGUUUCCUCUUAUGUUAUCUUACACCAAAGUGCAGAGAGCACAUGAAAUUGAGAGAGCCAUCAAAACCAGAGUCUGGUUCAGGAGGUGCUCCUUCCCCUAACUCUAGGCACCAGAGAGGUUAAUUCAGAAACUUGAGUCAGGGUUGAAAAGGGUGUGAAAAAUGCCAUGCUGAUUCAUGCAAAUGGUCCCUUUUAGCUCUGGUCUCUUAGGAUGGAACCACAGGAGAGCAGGGGCAGCCCCCUGUUGUCCCUGGCCAGCUUUGGAUAAACGGGAACAGAUUGGUCAUCAUCCGAGAUUUUACCUGGAGUCUUCAUGUACCGCUUCUUCUGGCCUGUCAAAAAGCAAGUGCAGGUUUGGAUGGCAGGGAACAA